GUGCAGACGCCUCAGUUCCAGGCCGCGCGAUUCGGCAACUGGGGCAAGUCAAAAGCAAAGAGAAGACCAAAACCAGCCUACCACUGUGAAAUUACGUUUUUCAAGGACGUAAUACUGCUCUGCAGCCCUCGGGACAAAAAAGUCCCAAAGCAACAAAUGAAGGCAGUGUUACAUGAAAGGGGCCACAUAUUGAGUGCACUAGAACUAGAUAAAUCAUGGGACCACGCGACCCUGCUACUCAAACUCCGUGAGGCGUUUGACGGGGAGAUCCCUUCAGGAGCUAGGUGUUUCUCGAUCUGGAGCUGGGGAGUCUGGAUCUGUGGUUGCGAUUCACCUGCUGUCAACCCCAUGUUCCUGCUCUGCUCCAAUUGUUACAACUAGUCCAGUUUUUAUUAUUUUUGUUAUCAUUAUAAUUAACAUUACUAUAAAUAUCAGUACCAUUAGUUGUUUUCAGUUUGUACCAACAUUACCUUUACAGUCUGUAUUUCUGGUGGAUCUGGUAGGAUGCUCCCCCCUACCCCCAAGCCCUCUCUACCUCUUUAUUGCUACCUCUCUUACAGCGUAAAUCGCUUCGGCAAGAGCCUGGUCGCUUUCGCCUCGCCUCGUCUUCUCAAAAAUGUCCCUUUGACCCGUCAUUGCCGAGGGCCGUGCGCCGUAGGCUUCGGAGGCAGCUGUGACAUCUAACUGCAGGAUGAGAGGCCAGUACACCACAGACCCCUCUCAGAAGUUAUUCCACACUGUUCGUCAUCAUGCAUCUUUGUAACUUGUCAAUACGAGCGCCAUGGCAUUGAACAUAAUGAGCCCAAAGCUCUGUGUGCAGUAGAGAUGUGUUCAUGUGUUUUGUACUAUACUUUCUUGUUGGGAAAGGAGGGAUGGUCAUUUCUUUCAUUGCUGCUGGUUGUUUCUCAGACAUCUUGUUUGCAAGUUCUGAAGCCAAGCUGAAGAUAUUAAACUUGACUGAGACAGAUGCUCGAGUGGGCUACACACAAACAUUAGUUUAAAGAAAAGAUCAAAUUCAGGAGGCCAGAGGGAGUCUGUGAGUUGUGGAUUUAAUUCACAGGUUCAGCAAAAAGGUGCAUGUCAGGGCCAAGGUCACACCACACGGGCCGCAGUUUGCAGAUGGGCGCCGGUCCUCAAAGGAGCCUUUCAUCUCCUGGGUGACGUUGCGAGUAAUGCAGAUGAUACAUUUCUAUUACCCACAUCUCUUUAAAGGAAUAGUUUUUGGAAACACCGUUUCUCUCUGGGAGAUGAGAAGAUUGGUCUGGAGUCAGGUCGUGGUUAGCUUAGCAUAAAGACUGGAAGCAGGGGGAAACGCCUCUGUCCAAAGUUCAUAAAUAAAGAGCAGCUGU